GAUGAACGCUGGCGGCGUGCUUAACACAUGCAAGUCGAACGGAAAGGCUCCUGCUUGCAGGGGUACUCGAGUGGCGAACGGGUGAGUAACACGUGGGGGAUCUGCCCUGCACUUCGGGAUAAGCCUGGGAAACUGGGUCUAAUACCGGAUAGGACCACAUUGUGGAUGGUGUGGUGGAAAGUUUUUCGGUGUGGGCUGAGCUCGCGGCCUAUCAGCUUGUUGGUGGGGUAAUGGCCUACCAAGGCGUCGACGGGUAGCCGGCCUGAGAGGGUGUACGGCCACAUUGGGACUGAGAUACGGCCCAGACUCCUACGGGAGGCAGCAGUGGGGAAUAGUGUACAAUGGGCGCAAGCCUUAUGCAGCGACGCCGCGUGGGGGAUGACGGCCUUCGGGUUGUAAACUCCUUUCGCUAGGGACGAAGCGCAAGUGACGGUACCUGGAGAAGAAGCACCGGCUAACUACGUG
rnacentral:rRNA from 1 species